GUUCAACAACAGUGAGGCAGGUGAAGUUGGAAAAAGAAUGUGAGCUCCGAGUUGAAGCCAGCGCUGACUCGCCUCUCCGUCUUCGGCUCCUAACUGGCACGGCUGAGAUUUUUGGGACUGAAAUCCCUCCUGGAAUCUGGCUCAACUUUCCUCCAAGACUUAAAUUUGCAGUUUUUACUUGGUAUGGAGCCACAAUCGAGAUGGACGGUUCCACUGAAACUGAUUAUACAGCAGAUGAGACGCCGAUGAUAAGUUAUAUAAAUGUCCAUGCUGUACUUGAUGGACGAAGAAAUCGUGCCAAAGCUUCGCCUAGUGAUUCCGACACUUCUCAGGGCCCAAGAGUUAUUGUUGUGGGACCUACAGAUUCUGGCAAGAGUACUCUGUCAAGGAUGCUUCUUAGUUGGGCUGCGAAACAGGGAUGGAAACCUACUUUUGUUGAUUUGGACAUAGGUCAAGGAUCGAUAACUAUUCCAGGAUGUGUUGCUGCUUCACCAAUCGAGUUGCCUAUCGAUCCAGUUGAAGGAAUUCCACUUGAGAUGCCUAUGGUCUACUUCUUUGGCCAUGUGACUCCUAGUGCCAACAUAGAUCAGUACAAGGUACUCGUCAAGGAGCUUGCUAAGACUCUGGAGACACA
rnacentral:misc_RNA from 1 species